UAGUCCCCGGCUUUCAAAGACAGUUAGAUCUAGUGAAAGCCAGUUGUGGAACAAUUUUAACAGUUUAGGUUUGCAAUACGGGGAGCAAGAAGUGGGGAGAGCUGAAUCCCUCUACAUAUACAGAAGGAUUUGGAAAUCUGAGCGGUCUCAGAUUUUUGAGGACAGGAGUGGAGAGAUUGUGAGGAGAAAGAACCAAAAAGAAGACAAGAAGCCGUUCGGUCAUUGUCUCCAGAUGGCCCAUAAAAGUAGAAAAUCGGAGGUCAGAGAUGCUAAAUAACCUACCAAGAUGGCACACACUGACUAGUGACUAUCGGCGUUUAGAUAUGAAUCCAGAUGCACCUGACUGCCAUGCUCUCCCACGUCCCACUCCACUCCUUCCCCACCCUCUAGGUCCCUGACCUAACUCUGGCAAACCUUCAGCAGUCAGCCAUUCUGGAACAUUUGGUGUCAACACCAAGUACCCGAAGCCAGUGACUCCAACCAGCCUCGCUUAGACCACAGUCCAUACCUGCUUCUCCUUCUUGGUCCCAACUGGAGUUCCAACUUUGGUUUGAAGGCCAUGGCUUUCAAACACAGACCUCAAGCCAGCUCUCAGGUGAGCGUGUUCUGCAACCUGCAUCUUCCCCUCUUCUUUUAGCUCAGAGACCCACAACAUUUCUCCCAGUUGCUCCUGGAGCACUCAAGGGCAGAGACUUAUCGUGUGAGUUUGCAGAACCGUCUCUUUUUAGAUCAGCGUGGGUCACCAUGGAUCCAGCUCAGCUAGGGCUGAGGAGCAGUUAAAAUAGCCGACAGGAUGGGGUGAGGUAGCACAACACUCACUCCCCACUCUGAUUAGAACAUCCCCUGAAAAGACAGCCUGAGAAAUGUCAUGCUGGGCAUGACCCUGCCUGCUGUCUCCCAACCCCCAGUCAAGAAGAGGUUGUAAAAAAUAAGGUAAGAGCCUCUGGGGGGAAUCACACAACAAAUGUCCAAAAAUAAAAAGGGGGGUCUCCCAGAGGGCGAGCUUAGCAAAGCGGGCGACAGGGAAGGUUCUCCGGCUGGAGCUCUGGAGCAGAGAGAGCCCAUGUACCCUGGAUCACCAUUUCGGGUUUCAAAUGAUAACCAUUCCUAACCAGCUCAUUACAGGAGCCACACAAUUAUCAGCAAAGUAUGCGUUUGUGCUUAUCUGCUCAAAAGAUUACUCUGAUCUCAGUAGUCUAAACUGAGGCCAGAUUGAGAAGACUGCCUUUAAUCAGAGGCCAAAUUAAAGUUCUGGCUGCUGCUGUGACAUUUUGCUAAGCAUUAUUCAAAUGCCUCUAAUGUAACUGUUGAAAUGAAUGUUCAUGCUUCAUUUGAAUACUGCUUAGAUCCACAGGGAACCCCCAAAAGAAAAAAUAAAUCAUAAAAUGUCAGCCAUACACAGUAAAGAUACCAGGGCCGAGGCUUCAGUUUAAGACUGGUUCAGAUCUCUUGCUGAAGCAACAAAUAUUUUCUCUGGGAAGCCAGCAAUAUUGUGUAUAACACCUAAAAAUAACUUCCUUGGCCCCAUAUAUUCUCAAAUCAUUGAAAAAAUUAUGCAUUUUCUUUGGAAGGAAGUAGCAAAAACCCAGCGGAGGAUACAAAAAUAAAUGCUGCUGAUUGAAAACAGGGCUUCCAUCCAGGCAUGUGUAAGACAAACUCAUAAGACACCUUCGAGAAGAAUCUGCUGAAUUGCCCUCUGAUCCAGAGGCCAUUUGAUCAUAUGCUGGCUUUUGUUAAAUUUAUUUCAUGCUUUUAUUUACCUGUUUACUGUUAUUUAACUCCUCCCUCAUUUAGGUUAUAAAGUACGUGCAGGUCUACAUCCUACAGUUCUUUCAACACACCAGGGUGCUGAACUCAUGCCUGAGAUCAGACAGGGUAGCUACUAAACACGCAUGCUGUCUAAAUCUGUGAGUCAAUAGCAUCCUCUGCUCUCCCAACGCUCCUGCUCUGGCUGCGCUGGUCACAGAGUCUGAGUCUGAUGAGCCUUUGGCUUUAUUGUCACAGAGCAAAUGCCUAUCCAACACCCAUGCUCCCUUCUCCCUGCACGCUGUGUGCCCAGCUCCCGGGAACUAAUCCUCGUUGCUCUAAGCCAGUCGUGGCAGUAACAGUCCCUUGGGCCAGGGAUUGGUCAGGGAGGGGAUAUAUUUGUAUGUGAGACUUGUGCCUGGCCAACGAGAGGAAUGAGAUGUAAAGGCAAGUGCACUAGAGAUGUCAGGAAAUGUUUUCCUCCCAAGUCAGAGAGGGGAUUGUACCAGAGAAGCCCCUGUUUGCUCCCUGUGCUGAUUUUCUUUUUAGACACUGUCUUUGAGAAUAUGAUGCCUGGAACCGAAGCAGCUAUCUUGAGACCAUGAGACAAGUGUGCAGACAAAAAGUCCGGGCUGAGUCUAUGCCAAGGAUGUUAGAAGAGAAGGACCAGAAGGAAUGGAAAGUCUGGGGACUUGACGAAAUAAGAGGAGCAGUUUGAUACAACGGAGAGAACAGAGGUUUUUGAACCAAAGACCAGUCAGAAUUCUGGCUGAGUAACCCCCAGCAAGUUUCUUAAUGUUCAGUUUCAGUGUCACUAACUGGAAAAUGUAGAUAACAAAGCAAACUUCAUAAACUUACUACUGUAAAAAAUAGAAUAAAAAAUAAUUUGCACAUAAGUCACUUAGCCUGGCAUGCAGUAAGUGCGCAAUAAAUGUUAACUGCCUUGCUUCCUCUCCCUCCAUGUGAUCGCUGAGCGGAGUAGAAGGUUCAGUGAAUUUGUUGUGAGUAGGGAAGCACACCCCUGUGCAAAUGUCAAGAAACGAUGAUCUUUCACCAUCUUUCUCAUCCGGAGAGGAGGGCAAGUUAGGGACGGCUGUCUGUGUGGGAGGCUGGAGCUCAAAGAACAGCUUAGGACCAGCAGGCUGAUCUACGUUGCCUGCACACAAACACAGCCCUUCAUUAAGCAGCUGCAACACUCUUUUGUUGAGUCUGGUGCCUUCUGUGAGUCAGACUCCCUGUCAAACCAUCUGCUCAGGGCCUCAAUAGAGGCCCCCUUCUUCUGAGCUGCUUCGGGCCAGGAGAGUCUGUUCCCCACCAACUGCCCAAAGCUGGGAGCUUUUAAAGGGUGGACUCCGCUGCUCAGUUGGCAGUGAUCCUGAGUGCGCAUGAAUGCCCGGCAGCCUCAGGGCGUCGUGGGCCAGUGGGCAAAGCUGGCUUGCUGGCAACUCUCAUGCCCUCCCUGGACACACACCGGAAUAUGGCCCCACAUUAACACACACACACACACACACACACACACACACACACACACACACACACACACAC